rnacentral:rRNA from 1 species
AACGAACGCUGGCGGCAUGCCUAACACAUGCAAGUCGAACGAGACCUUCGGGUCUAGUGGCACACGGGUGCGUAACGCGUGGGAAUCUGCCCUUGGGUUCGGAAUAACUCGCCGAAAGGCGUGCUAAUACCGGAUGAUGUCGUAGGACCAAAGAUUUAUCGCCCAGGGAUGAGCCCGCGUAAGAUUAGGUAGUUGGUGAGGUAAAGGCUCACCAAGCCGACGAUCUUUAGCUGGUCUGAGAGGAUGAUCAGCCACACUGGGACUGAGACACGGCCCAG